rnacentral:rRNA from 1 species
GAUGAACGCUGGCGGCGUGCUUAACACAUGCAAGUCGAGCGAAGCACUUAAGUUUGAUUCUUCGGAUGAAGAUUUUUGUGACUGAGCGGCGGACGGGUGAGUAACGCGUGGGUAACCUGCCUCAUACAGGGGGAUAACAGUUAGAAAUGACUGCUAAUCCCGCAUAAGACCACGGUACCGCAUGGUACAGUGGUAAAAACUCCGGUGGUAUGAGAUGGACCCGCGUCUGAUUAGGUAGUUGGUGGGGUAACGGCCUACCAAGCCGACGAUCAGUAGCCGACCUGAGAGGGUGACCGGCCACAUUGGGACUGAGACACGGCCCAGACUCCUACGGGAGGCAGCAGUGGGGAAUAUUGCACAAUGGAGGAAACUCUGAUGCAGCGACGCCGCGUGAAGGAUGAAGUAUUUCGGUAUGUAAACUUCUAUCAGCAGGGAAGAAAAUGACGG